UGGGGAAUAUUGGACAAUGGGCGCAAGCCUGAUCCAGCCAUGCCGCGUGAGUGACGAAGGUCUUCGGAUUGUAAAACUCUUUUGGCGGGGACGAUAAUGACGGUACCCGCAGAAUAAGCCCCGGCUAACUUCGUGCCAGCAGCCGCGGUAAUACGAAGGGGGCUAGCGUUGUUCGGAAUCACUGGGCGUAAAGCGCACGUAGGCGGAUGUGCCAGUCAGGGGUGAAAUCCCGGAGCUCAACUCCGGAACUGCCUCUGAUACUGCACGUCUUGAGUUCGAGAGAGGUGGGUGGAAUUCCUAGUGUAGAGGUGAAAUUCGUAGAUAUUAGGAAGAACACCGGUGGCGAAGGCGGCCCACUGGCUCGAUACUGACGCUGAGGUGCGAAAGCGUGGGGAGCAAACAGGAUUAGAUACCCUCGUAGUCCCUGAGCGGGCUGGCAAGGCGCAU
rnacentral:rRNA from 1 species